rnacentral:lncRNA from 1 species
CUUUCCACCGUGGGGGUCUCUGAGCCUUCCAUUCUCCUCUCCGCCUGCCUUCUCCCUCACCUCAGGGGUAGCGAACCCCCUUUUUUUCUGCCUGAGCAUCCUCGCACCACCCCCACUGCCACUGACUCUCUCCCCACCCUCUCCUCUCCGCUUCUCUCUGCCCCUUUAAAUCUGCCUGGCCCAGCCUCCCCCUUGAUGCUGGGUUUGGAGCAAACAUUGAUUUGUGCUGGGAUGGAAUUGGAAUUUUGAUUUUUUUUUUCCUCUCCCAACC